rnacentral:rRNA from 1 species
UUUUUAUAUAAAUUUCUAUAAAUAAAAUCUGCUCCAUGUAAAUAUAAAUAGCCGCAAAUAUUUUCUGUGCUAAGGUAGCAUAAUCAUUAGUCUUUUAAUUAAGGACUCGAAUGAAUGAUUUAACAUUUUAAUUCAUUUUUUUAUUCAACAAUAUUAAACUUAAACUAAAUAUAAAAAUGUAUUUAUAAAUAAAAAAGACGAUAAGACCCUAUUGAACUUAACUUAAGUUAAGCUGGGGAAGCUAAUUAAAUAUAAUUUUAAUUUUUAUUUUUAUUUAAAUUUCUAAUAAAAUUAAAUUUAACAAGUUACCAUAGGGAUAACAGCAUAAUUUUUUUCUAAAGUUCUUAUUUAAAAAAAAGUUUAUGACCUCGAUGUUGAAUAAUUUUCCUAUAUAACGCAAGCGUUUAUAAAGAAGGUCUGUUCGACCAUUAAAUUAUUACA